GCUUCCUUAGUUCAGUUGGUCAGAACGCCUCCCUUGUAAGGAGGAUGUCGUGGGUUCAAAUCCUACAGGAAGCUCCA
rnacentral:tRNA from 1 species